rnacentral:tRNA from 2 species
GGGCCGUUAGCUCAGUCGGUAGAGCAACGCACUUUUAAUGCGUGGGUCGACAGUUCGAAUCUGUCACGGCCUA